UACGAAGGGGGCUAGCGUUGCUCGGAAUCACUGGGCGUAAAGGGUGCGUAGGCGGGUCUUUAAGUCAGGGGUGAAAUCCUGGAGCUCAACUCCAGAACUGCCUUUGAUACUGAAGAUCUUGAGUUCGGGAGAGGUGAGUGGAACUGCGAGUGUAGAGGUGAAAUUCGUAGAUAUUCGCAAGAACACCAGUGGCGAAGGCGGCUACCUGGCCCAAUACUGACACUCAGGUGCGACAGCGUGGGGAGCAAACAGG
rnacentral:rRNA from 1 species